rnacentral:lncRNA from 1 species
ACCAAUUCCGGACACAAUCUCAGCACUGUGGGAGACUGAGGCACCUGCCAAACCUGCACAGAUUCCUACAGCAGCCAGUUCGCUCUGUCUCGAGGCUUCAGAGGAACACGAACUUCUCUGAUGGAAGAGCCUUGUUCUAGAAGGGAGUGAAGCCUAGGUCUUUCCUGAGCACACAGAAGAUCAAGACCACACUCACUGACUUCUCAUAGUCAAGCAAUUUUGGCCAAUUAAAUGUCAGUUGGAAACUCCUGUGUCAGCUUCUCUGUGGCGGUGAGAAGUCCCUGUGUGACAUCCCAACUCUCCCCUCACCUGCGUUGGCAACCAAGAAAGCCUUGUGUUGGAGGUGGGGCCACAAGUUUAAAGCUAAGUUACCACCUCGAGGGCACAUUCCUGGAGAGCUUCCCAGGCCCACAGUGGCACGUGUAUGAGUGACAGAUCCACUUCUUUAUUACCUUUUUGAAGAACAGGAACCUUUGUCUGGAAAUUCCACAAGUAUGCCUUUUGCAAGAUUAAAAGUGCCACAAAGAACAAAAAUGAGCCCAGGACCAGAUGCAUGUUAAAAGCCAUCAGACACGUUAAGUUUCAUCUCCAUUGACCUGCAGAAGGAGUCUCUCACCACAGCCACCACAUCUAUGCAUGUGCUGAGUCACAUGUGAAGCCAGCACAUCUCAGAGUCUCACCGAAAGCUCAUGGGACUAUUUGGUUUCUAUUCUACUUCUGGCCUUUCAUAUUCCUGAUGGUGCAUUGGAUGAAACCCCGCAGCCAGGCGUGUGAACGUGGUUGAAAAGACCCAUGGAGGACCAGCAACGCUUCCCCACAGCGUGGGAUGGUCCCCUCCUGAGAUGGCCCACUGUCAGCGGGACUGACGCCAAGCACUGCAUCCUGUCUGCUUCUUGAACAGCCCCUUCAUUGUUUGUUCAGCUAUUCUGCUGCAUCUGCAGAUAGCCCUGCCUGAGAAACAGCCUCAAACCAGAAGGAGAGGAUGGCGGCAAGCCUUAGAGAAACAUGGAUGUUAUGUGGACUUCAUUGCCUCAGAGAAAAUUCCUUUUAGGGCUGAAGGCAGAGAAAGUCAGCAUUGAUUUCUGGCCUAAGCUCUUGGGAGUUUAGAGGGUUUGUCAAGGAGCCAAAAGAGGCAAAGGGACUUGAAGAUUUGGACGGCAUGUCUCGGAGAAGUAGCCCCACUCCUAGAGGAGAUGACAUUUGGCUUGGAGGAGAAAGAGGCCUCAAAGGUUUCACAUAUCUAAGUCCAAGGAACUUGAGCUCACAGUCAGACAUCAUAAAACACACAAGGAAAGAAGGCAUCAUGAAUAAAAGCAGGAACCAAUAUUAUUAGACACAACAGAUAAAAUGACCGUAAAGAAAAUUUGGGAAUGUGUAUUUCAGGGAAAAUGAAAAUGAUCCCAAUAAAGAUCGGAGAUGCAGGAAGGAAGGAAAACAUAGAAAUUGAGCCAGUUGGAGUGUGAGGCUUCAGAAUCGCCUUCCAACUCUCUGUGCACUGCACCAGCUGCUUCCCAUAGACUCCUGGUAAAAUAUAGAGCGGAAGGAAGAAGAGCCACUACCCAUAACAUCAGUGGCUGCUAACUAAGGAGUGUUUUGACAUGCUGGUACAGCCUAUCCUCAGCUUUCCAGAAGGUGGAAUCUUGUGAUAGUGGAAAGAAGUAGAAGAGAUGAAGUACCUAUGACUCCAGGAUUUGCCAGUGAAAGAAGUCAACAAUAUUUUAACUUUGAUCUUAACCAAAAGGCCAAGAAGUGAUGCUAAUAUUUUCAUAUACUACGACAGUUGCAGACACACGUCUAUCAUAGCUGGGUAGUAAUCCAGGCAACUCUGCCACAAGUCAUGGGCUCAGCCACCAGUCCACGAAGUCUCCAGUCACACAUAUUGCUUCGGACUAUUCUCUAUCCCCAGUUGUCAAUUAACUAAAAUAUUAAAUGAGGAUGCCAUGGAGUCCCCCAACUGAUUUCAUAAAUUUGGUGUCACAUUGUAAAUCAAGCAGCUGCAGAGUGGCUGGGACAUCUGUUUGGUUCUGUUAUUCUCUUUACUCCAAAAGGAAACUAACUCCAAAAGAAGAAAACCUGAUGUCUGAGCUGAAUCCUAAUCAUGAAGAUGUUUUUCCACCAUUCCUGUCUGUGUUUUUCUACCAUUCCUGUCUGUGUUUUUCUACCAAAGUGUGCUCUUGAAGUUCUGCAUUUCCCAGGGUGUGGUGAAAGAAGAGAAAAAAAUGUCCAAGAUGACUUCAACGUUCUGACCUUGAGUGGCUUGAGUGAAUGGAGUUACAACUGUGCAGAAAGAUUCAGUAGAGAGUUUUGGAUUUAUGCACCAGUAAGGGGAAAACUGAACAGCUGCAGAGAGCUGUAACUUUUAUAGGAGAUUAAUCUAUAAGAGAAGACAGCAAACUACAGCCUGUGUGUCAAAUCCUACUUGCCACGUCCACUGAAAGCUAACUACACUGGAACACUCUCAUUUCUGCAAAGAAAAAUAUCAUAUCCCAGGAUGAAAAGGAGGAGGAAGAGGAAAGGCUAACUUAACAAGAAGCUCUUUGACAUUCUUGAAUUAGACACCCAACGUAGUCCACGCAGUACGGAGGAUGACUUCAGAAGUGCAAUUCUGAUAUGGACUUUGUCUCCCUAAGGCUUUCAGUUCCUCAUAUUUAGGAUAAAACAGAAGUUUAUGUAAAGCCAAGGGAGAGGGUCACCGGGAGAGGGAAGGAGGAACAGCAGAAGGAGAGGUCCACACAUGAAAAUACUUGGAAGCGCCCCAGGGCCUAUCAGAUGCAGGUCUUGGCGGAAAUUACCAAACAUACUUUAGACAGGCUGCUGUGUUGCUGAGUGUGGACUGGCCUCAGGGCCUGCUGAUCAAAGCAAAAGGAAGCAGUGAAAAAAACAUCACCAUGUCUUCUUAGAGUCUAAUCUGGGGGCAAGAGGCCAGCAUGCACAGUUGGUGCUGAUUUUCUUGGGCGGAUAGAGGAAAGGUGUAGGCGUGGCCAACAUUUGAGCAGCAUGUGGUUCCUCUCACACGCCAUGCUGUUUCCGGCCUCCUUGCAUUUUACUCAUGCCAUCCUCCUGGUCACUUCUUUGAGAUAUUAAGUGCAUUCUUUAGGACUCAGACUCAGCUCAAGGGUCAGUGCAUCCAUGAAGCCUUACCUGGAUCCCAGAGGGAGCUCUGUGCUCCUCCUUUGUCUCCUAUAGGACCCAGUACAUGCGUCCAGUAUUAUCCAUACACACUGAAAUGAUCUAGCAUGUGUCUUCCCAUAGGAUUUCAAAUUCUUAGAAUAUAGGAGUGAUGCCUUCUUCCUACUUAUAUUUCCAGUGUUAACAGUGCCUGUCAAUUGACUUGAAGAUAACUAAAAGUCUGGUUGUUAAGGGCUGCUUCCCACCUCCAAAUACUUCCCUGGAAGUCAUUGUAUGGGCACUGACAUUGGUAGGUCUCCACUGGCUUGUAGAUGCUUCUGAUUAUAAGGUAGUCUCAGAUGCCUUCAGAAAGUUCUAAGACUGUAUAAAACAUUUCCUUCACAACCAAUAACUGUGUAUUAUUGUUCGUGUAAUUCCAGAAGUUAUCCUUUUGAUAGAGAGCAAUUACUUUAUUGAUUGAGAGUUAGCUAAUUAUGUAAUAAAGGUAAAGAUUUGCAUAGAGAA